rnacentral:rRNA from 1 species
AUGAACGCUGGCGGCGUGCCUAAUACAUGCAAGUCGAGCGAACGGACGAGAAGCUUGCUUCUCUGAUGUUAGCGGCGGACGGGUGAGUAACACGUGGAUAACCUACCUAUAAGACUGGGAUAACUUCGGGAAACCGGAGCUAAUACCGGAUAAUAUUUUGAACCGCAUGGUUCAAAAGUGAAAGACGGUCUUGCUGUCACUUAUAGAUGGAUCCGCGCUGCAUUAGCUAGUUGGUAAGGUAACGGCUUACCAAGGCAACGAUGCAUAGCCGACCUGAGAGGGUGAUCGGCCACACUGGAGCUGAGACACGGUCCAGACUCCUACGGGAGGCAGCAGUAGGGAAUCUUCCGCAAUGGGCGAAAGCCUGACGGAGCAACGCCGCGUGAGUGAUGAAGGUCUUCGGAUCGUAAAACUCUGUUAUUAGGGAAGAACAUAUGUGUAAGUAACUGUGCACAUCUUGACGGUACCUAAUCAGAAAGCCACGGCUGACUACGU